rnacentral:misc_RNA from 1 species
UUUCCGUAGGUGAACCUGCGGAAGGAUCAUUAAUGAGUUGUCAUGGGGUUCGAUGCUGGCAGCCAGUUUUUGGAUGCAUGUGCUUGCCCUAACAAUCAUCUUCUUCCAAACACCUGUGCACAUUUUGAGGGAGUCUUGAGUUGGUUGCCGCUCUUGGGUGAUUUUCUCACAUUCCCUUAAAUCAUUAUACGCUAUUAACAAUGUUGUACGUGCUCUGUGCCGCAAGGCCAUUAAUAUAAUACAACUUUUAACAACGGAUCUCUUGGCUCUC